AUUGAACGCUGGCGGAAUGCUUUACACAUGCAAGUCGAACGGCAGCACGGACUUCGGUCUGGUGGCGAGUGGCGAACGGGUGAGUAAUGUAUCGGAACGUGCCCAGUCGUGGGGGAUAACGUAGUGAAAAUUACGCUAAUACCGCAUACGAUCUAUGGAUGAAAGCGGGGGAUCGCAAGACCUCGCGCGAUUGGAGCGGCCGAUAUCAGAUUAGGUAGUUGGUGGGGUAAAGGCCCACCAAGCCAACGAGCUGUGGCUGGUCUGAGAGGACGACCAGCCAAACUGGAACUGAGACACGGUCCAGACUCCUACGGGAGGCAGCAGUGGGGAAUUUUGGACAAUGGGCGAAAGCCUGAUCCAGCCAUUCCGCGUGCAGGAUGAAGGCCCUCGGGUUGUAAACUGCUUUUGUACAGAACGAAAAGGUUUCUACUAAUACUAGGAGCUCAUGACGGUACUGUAAGAAUAAGCACCGGCUAACUACGUGCCAGCAGCCGCAGUAA
rnacentral:rRNA from 1 species